rnacentral:rRNA from 1 species
UUAAAUUUUUGAAGUUAUCUUAGCUUUUUUGUUGGGUGAAAUCAGUAUAAAGAGUUUCUCUUUCUUUUAAAAUUAAUAGGAAUUAAAAAACUUUGAUUAAAAACCAGGAUUAGAUACCCUGUUAUUCUAAGUUAUAUUUAGACAGGGUAGUAAAAGCUGUUCUUCAAACCCAAAGAUUUUGGCGGCACUUUAUCCAAAUAGAGGAGCUUGCCCCUUAAUCGAUAGCCCCCGUUUUAUCUUUCCUCUGUUUGUAGAGCUUGUAUACCGCCGUUGUCAGAUCACUUUUAGAGAAUGUUUUCAAGUUAAAAGACUUUUCUACUUCAGGUCAAGGUGCAGUUUAUAUAGAGGUGGAGGUGAGCUACAAUUUUCUUUAGAAAUACGGAUCUCAAGCCUCGAAGCUGGUUGAAGGUGGAUUUAUUAGUAAAGUAA